GCAAGUUUUUAAUGACUUAUCGCGUAAACAAACUUAUUCACGUGUGAUUUUAAUUUUAUUUCUUGUUGAAUGGAAACAAUGCAACUGUGAAGUUGUAUUUUUUCUUUAUUAGUGGAUUACUGACAAGGUUUUUCGCACAUUUGAAAUGGAAACGUAGCUAACGCUAAUGGGUUAGCGCCACAACCCCGCAUGUACAAACACGUUUGGGCAGUGACAUCAGAGCCGGAAGCUGCAGGAACUUGACCAAGACUCUUAAACCUCUUAUCAGCUCAGAUGCAUCCCUCAGGAAAGUGUCCAGUGGUUUCACAGCCUGACUGUUCACUGAGCGAUCGGGGGAAAAGGUUUCAGCUGCGGUUUUUCUUCUGGCUCUGAUAUACACGACAAAAACUCCGACCUUAACCAUUAUAGUUCCUUAUUAAGGAAUUCAAACUUCACAUUUUGUAUCCUCUUGCAUAAAUGUCUGCAUUAGUUGGGAUUUAAUGUCAUAAACACCAUAUUAAGCUGGUCUAAGUGUCAACUUGAGUUUAAAUGAUGUCUUAAUGUUUAUUUUAUUGUUGUUUUUUUUUUUCAAAUAAAAAAAUGUGCAUG